rnacentral:rRNA from 1 species
UACGGAAUGUGCAAACGUUAUUCGGAAUCACUGGGCUUAAAGAGUCCGUAGGCGGCAUGUUAGGUGAGGUGUGAAAUCCCCCGGCUCAACCGAGGAAUUGCGCUUCAAACCGGCGUGCUUGAGGAAGAUAGAGGUGGGCGGAACUGAUGGUGGAGCGGUGAAAUGCGUAGAUAUCUGGAGGAACACCGGUGGCGAAGGCGGCAUCCUGGACCAAUACUGACGCUGAGGAGCGAAAGCCAGGGGAGCAAACGGG